rnacentral:rRNA from 1 species
GCAGUAGCCGCGGUAACACAGAGGGUGCGAGCGUUAAUCGGAUUUACUGGGCGUAAAGCGUGCGUAGGCGGCUUCUUAAGUCGGAUGUGAAAUCCCUGAGCUUAACUUAGGAAUUGCAUUCGAUACUGGGAAGCUAGAGUAUGGGAGAGGAUGGUAGAAUUCCAGGUGUAGCGGUGAAAUGCGUAGAGAUCUGGAGGAAUACCGAUGGCGAAGGCAGCCAUCUGGCCUAAUACUGACGCUGAGGUACGAAAGCAUGGGGAGCAAACAGGAUUAGAUACCCCCAUAGUCCCUGUCUCUUAUAA